CGUGUAGGCGGCUUGACAAGUCAGAUGUGAAAUCCCUGGGCUUAACCCAGGAAGUGCAUUUGAAACUGUCAGGCUAGAGUAAGGGAGAGGAAAGUGGAAUUCCUGGUGUAGAGGUGAAAUUCGUAGAUAUCAGGAGGAACACCGGUGGCGAAGGCGACUUUCUGGCCCUAUACUGACGCUGAGACGCGAAAGCGUGGGUAGCAAACAG
rnacentral:rRNA from 1 species